GACGAACGCUGGCGGCAUGCCUAACACAUGCAAGUCGAACGGAGUUUAGAAGCUUGCUUUUAAACUUAGUGGCGGACGGGUGAGUAACGCGUGAGCAACUUGCCUCUCGGUGGGGAAUAAUGUACUGAAAAGGACACUAAUACCGCAUAAUGUGCAGAGAUCGCAUGGUCAUUGCACCAAAGAUUUAUCGCCGAGAGAUGGGCUCGCGUCCGAUUAGCCAGUUGGUGGGGUAACAGCCUACCAAAGCGACGAUCGGUAGCCGGACUGAGAGGUUGAACGGCCACAUUGGGACUGAGACACGGCCCAGACUCCUACGGGAGGCAGCAGUGGGGGAUAUUGCGCAAUGGGGGAAACCCUGACGCAGCAAUGCCGCGUGAAUGAUGAAGGUCUUCGGAUUGUAAAAUUCUUUUGUCAGGGACGAAAAUGACGGUACCUGACGAAUAAGCUCCGGCUAACUACUCGCCACCAGCCGCGGUAAUACGUAUGGAGCGAGCGUUGUCCCGAUUUACUGCGUGUAAAGGGGUGCGAAGCGGCUUUUUCAGAUCACAUGUGAAAUCUCUGGGCGCACCCCCCAAUUUGCAGUUGAAACUGUCAGACUUGAGUGAAGUAGAGGUAGGCGGAAUUCCCAGUGUAGCGGUGAAAUGCGUAGAGAUUGGGAGGAACACCAGUGGCGAAGGCGGCCUACUGGGCUUUAACUGACGCUGAGGCACGAAAGCAUGGGUAGCAAACAGGAUUAGAUACCCUGGUAGUCCAUGCCGUAAACGAUGAUUAAGUAGAUGUGAGGGGAUUUAACCCAUACGGUACACAUUUAAAACAAUAAGUAUUCCAAUGAUGGAGUUUGGCAACAAGGUUGAACUUCAAAGGAAUGAUAGGGGAUCCGCACAAGCAGUGGAGUAUGUGGUUUAAUUAGAAGCAAAGCGAAGAACCUUACCGGGGCUUGACAUCCUGGGAAUCCUUCAGAGAUGAGGGAGUGCCCUUCGGGGAAUCCAGAGACAGGUGGUGCAUGGUUGUCGUCAGCUCGUGUCGUGAGAUGUUGGGUUAAGUCCCGCAACGAGCGCAACCCUUGCUUUCAGUUGCUACGCAAGAGCACUCUGGAAGGACUGCCGUUGACAAAACGGAGGAAGGUGGGGACGACGUCAAAUCAUCAUGCCCCUUAUGUCCCGGGCUACACACGUACUACAAUGGCCGUCAACAGAGGGAAGCAAUGGAGCGAUCCGGAGCAAACCCCCAAAAACGGUCCCAGUUCAGAUUGCAGGCUGCAACCCGCCUGCAUGAAGUUGGAAUUGCUAGUAAUCGCAGAUCAGCAUGCUGCGGUGAAUACGUUCCCGGGCCUUGUACACACCGCCCGUCACACCAUGGGAGCCGGUAAUACCCGAAGUCAGUAGCCUGACCGCAAGGAGGGCGCUGCCGAAGGUAGGAUUGGCGACUGGGGUG
rnacentral:rRNA from 1 species